rnacentral:rRNA from 1 species
GAUGAACGCUAGCGGCAGGCUUAACACAUGCAAGUCGAGGGGCAACACGGGUAGCAAUACCUGGUGGUGACCGGCGCAAGGGUGCGUAACGCGUGAGCAACAUACCCUAUACAGGGGGAUAAUCCAGGGAAACUUGGUCUAAUAUCCCAUAGGAUUUACAGAUGUCAUCAUCUAUAAAUUAAAGCUUCGGUGGUAUAGGAUUGGCUCGCGUGACAUUAGCUAGAUGGUGGGGUAACGGCCUACCAUGGCCAUGAUGUCUAGGGGUUCUGAGAGGAAGACCCCCCCACACUGGGACUGAGACACGGCCCAGACUCCUACGGGAGGCAGCAGUGAGGAAUAUUGGACAAUGGAUGGAAAUCUGAUCCAGCCAUGCCGCGUGCAGGGAAGACGGCCCUAUGGGUUGUAAACUGCUUUUAUAUGGGAGCAAUAAGGUCUACGCGUAGACCGAUGAGAGUACCAUAUGAAUAAGCAUCGGCUAACUCCG